UGCCUUCAUGGGACAAAGAAAGGUGUACCCCAGCCUGAGCAGAAGCAGGUGAUCCAAGCCAUCUCCAAACACUCUUAAUCUGGCCAGAAGCUGCUACGGAACACCCAAACAGUUGGAAAGAGAAAAGUACAUCUCCCUCCUCUUUGAAGGACCAGCACUGUGGGCAACCCGUGGUGGCAGCAUCUGUGGAAAUCCCCUCCAGUCUGUCCCUGCACUGAGGUUGCACAGGGAUGUGUGUUAAUGUUAGAUAUGUUCUUGCUACCGUCAUUUUCUGUCUGAGGCACCUGCAAAGCCUGGAUAGGGUGAAACGUUUUGGAGAUGACCACGGUUUCCACACGCUCCCAUUUGUGGUUAUUUGCGAGAUAAUGACUUUUUUUUGGCCUGUAAAUUCCCAAUCACUG